rnacentral:pre_miRNA from 1 species
AAAAGAAAAGUGCGAUGGAGUUGGAACGUUUGCCUACGUUUGCCGCUAGAGACGCUGUUUCAACUCCAUACAAAUUUGAGUUA